ensembl:lncRNA
CAAAACUAACAUUGUUUAUAUGUCAGAAAAUUAGCAAACAUGAAUAAAUGGCGAAAACAAUAUAAUUAUAACAUAUAUUUUUAUUUGACUUAUUUUAGGUCUGUGAAGCCAAACUUGAUGCUGGGGAUUUAUUUUUGUCAGUGGAGUCAAAUGGUCUAGAUGAUCACAUCUGUCUUUGUCAUUUAAAUGAGGUGGACUUGCAAACUUUGCGCUCUUUUGGAUUUCGAGACAGAGCUUAUUGUUCUCUGAACUUCGUUGUUUGCUGAACAGCAGGUUGAAGCAGAAUUUGCCCGUCUUACAUCUGUUGACCUGAAAGGGUUCCUUUUUGCUGUGCUUGACCAUUAUGGAGAGGUUCGUGGAGCUGUACAAAAUCAAGAGCGGCAUAGGAGGGCUAACUAGGCUCAUAAGAUGCUUCGGUGAUGAUGUAAGUGUUCAACUGCGAAAUGUUCUCCUUUGUUUAAGUUUUAGGUUAUCCAGUUCAACUGAUGAACUCAUUGAAAGAAAGCUGAUAAGUAAAGUCUGUCAUCAUAUUUCACAACUGGACAUUUAGUGUGGUAACUUUUACAGAAUCUGUGUAUAUUGGUGGUAGGUUGGAUAUC